rnacentral:rRNA from 1 species
GAUUAUUUUAUAGUAAAUUUUUGUUAUUAGAAUAUAGUUUAAGAGUAUAUUGAGUGAAAUUUUUUUAAUUAAUUAUAGUUUAUAGUACUGAGAAGGAAAUUUUAGUUUAUUAUGAGAAAAUUUAGUUUUAUUAUUACCUUUUGUAUUAGGGUUUAUCAAUGGGUAAUACGUUAGUAGGUUCUCGAUUAAUGACGGGCUAAAAUGUUAGAUUAAAAUUCGUUGUAGAGAAUUAAUUAUAAUUUUUUAGUUAUGAAAUAUUAUUCAAGUUGUUUUUUAUCUGGUUCUUUAAGAAAGUUAAUGUUAGACUUAGGUACAGGACAAUAAGUGGGGAUUAGCUCAUUUAUGUUUUAUAUGGUUUUUUGUGAGUGUUUAUGAUUGGGUUUGAUAGUGUCUAUUUUGAUGGUUUUAUAACUAGUUAAGAGUUAAAUAAUAUUUUUUAUUGCUAUGGAAGUAUUAAAGUUUAGUUAAAUAUUUAAAUAUUAUUAGUAAUAAUGAUAAAAUUAGUAGUAUAAUAACUUAUAAAAAUUGGAUCUGUAGGAUUUUUAUAUAAUAAUAAUGAUGGGUUUAUUAAGAAUGAUGAAUUCGGCAAAUAUUGUUUUCUGACUGUUUAGCAAAAACAUUGUUUUUUGCUAUUAUAAAAAAUAUUUUCUGCCCACUGUUGACGAAUGAAGGGCUGCGGUAAUCUGACUGUGCAAAGGUAGCAUAAUCAUUAGUUUUUUAAUUGGAAGCUGGUAUGAAGAAAUAACAGGGAAUAACUAUGUUGUUUUUAAUUUAUGAAUUUGAUUUUUGUGUGAAAAAUCAUAAUUUAAUUAAAGGGACAAGAAGACCCUAAUAAGCUUUAUUUUUUAUUUUUAAAUGGGUAGAUAGAAAUAAGAAUUAAUGUAAUUUAAAAUAAUUGAAUUUUACUGGGGCGGUAAGUGGAAAAACACCACGAGUUAAAAAAUUUAACUUUUGACGAAAAAUUAGACCUAAGAGGUUUAUUUGGUUGAGAAGCUACUGUAGGGAUAACAGCGUGAUUUUUUUUUAGAGUUCAUAUUGACGAAAAA